GGCACACCGAAGUUUGUGUGUGCAAGUGCACAGGAGCGUGCACGCGCUCUCAAAGAUGCUUGUGCAGUUGUGGCUGUCCGGGUCCCGGGAGACAGAAAUACGGAUGAGACUUAAGAAGCUGAGGAAGGAGGAUUGCCAGGAGUUGGAGGCCACGCUGGGGCUACACAGUGAGUUCCAGGUCACCCUGUGUUACAGUGCCUUGAAAACAACAGAAAACCAAAACAAACAAGGGACGAAGAUUGGCGCUUAUGACAUCCCUCACUGUGGGACCCUCUUUGAGCUUCAGUUAUAUAAUGGACACAGAACCUGAGGAGAGAAUCAGCCCAUUGCACCUCACCAGGCCACAGCUGAAA